ACAGUGCCCAAAUCACCAGAGCUAACCUGGAGACCUCAGUCUAAUCUCCAGAAAGAAGAGGAUCCAAGAGCAACACCACGAAGACAAUAAACUCCUUGAAUAACAGAGGACCUGGAAUGUUGUCUGUAACACAGAAGAUUCUUAAUAAAGGCCUGCCAACUUGAAGUGGACUUAACACACCUGCUCUUGCCAUAAGCACAUUGUUUUCAAGAGGAGAAGCUGGGAUCCAUGUCACUUAAGCAGUGUAUGGGCAAUGUCACAGCCAUGAAUGGAGGAAAGCCAGGGACUGAAUCCUAAUCCAGCCAGAGGGUGAUGAGAAAGAUGGACUUGGACUUCAAAGAAAUGAAAAAGCAUCAGAGAGAAGGAGAGACAGGGGUCUCAGAUACAGAGGCCACCGUGAAUCACAUCACCCAGCCCUGCAGUUGCCUUGCACCUCCUGCAUUAGCGGCACCAGUGAUGCGUGUCUGUCAUCUCCCCUGCCACGGUUUGCAUCCCUAGCCCAGCACCGGGAUGGAUGAAAGGGAUCAGAGUCCAAGAGGAGCCUGCUCUUCAAAAAUGCCUAGCGACAAACAGUCCUGGGAGGAUGGCCACAGGGAAAUGGAAGAGAAAACUGAAUUAUUCUGAUUUACCUUCUCUUGUUAAUCGGGUCCCUUUGCAACCACUAGAGACUUUCAGGAAAAAAAAUCAGCUUAUUUAUCUCCUUUCAUAUGGAAUGUAGGUUUUUGAGGUCUCAUUCUAUAUUCCUUAUGUAUCCUUAAAGAAAUACUCUAGAGAUAAGACCAGUUUCUGGAAGAGGUGGGGGUGAGUUAAAGAGAGGAGCAAAUUCUUCUCUGGCCCAAGAAAGAAAAUGCAGCUCAAUUUCUUUUCAGGACCCCAGGAAAAGUCCUCAUGUCCAGAAACUCAUCAGAUUCACUUUAUCUUUGUGAUCCUCUCUGAGUCUAUCUCUGCUAUUAAGGUUGUUGCUGCCCAAAGACUCCCCACACACAACUCACCGAAAGGGGCUGGUGAGAAUGUCAGGCCUGCCCCCGAUUCAGUAGCUCAGUGACUAGAACUAACUCUAAUUUCAAGGUUGAGGAUUUUAUAAUUUCAGAGGUUCCUGGGGCAACUGUUUCUGGAAAAUAAACAUCCUUGAGAGUAAACUGGAUUUCUUGGAUGAGUGCACUGUAUGGGUGCUGUGUCUUGGAACAGUCACCUCCUUUCGUCUUCUGCACACAGGAUAAGAUUUUACUCAUUUUUCAGUCUUGGUCAAGGGAGUAGAGGACAGAGUUUUAGUGAAGGAGGGAGCCUGCCUUAGGCAUGCAUUUGAGCCCCACUAUCCACUAUUUUUUUUUUUUUUUUUUUUUUUAUUGAGACUGAGUCUUGCUCUGUUGCCCAGGCUGGAGUGCAGUGGCACAAUCUCGUCUCACUGCAACCUCUGCCUCCCGGGUUCAAGAGAUUCACCUUCCUCAGCCUCCCGAGUAGCUGGGACUACAGGUGCCUGCCACCAGACCCAACUAAUUUUUUGUAUUUUUAGUAGAGAUGGGGUUUCACCACGUUGCUCAAGCUGGUCUCAAAAACUCCUGAUUUCAGGUGAUCUGCCCACCCCGGCCUCCCAAAGUGCUGGGAUUACAGACGAGAGCCACUGUGCACAGCCUAGCCCCACUCACUCUUGACUCUUCACAUCUUCUUGGUUUUUUAUUUUUUCUUGGUUCUUCAUAUUUCAUUUAUGAUUCUCUUGUACCUAAGUUUUGAUGACUAAUUAGGGUAGAGAAAAUGGAGACCAACAGAUAAAGGAAAGCCAACCUACACAUUCAUAAAGGUCCUUAGAGGGCCUGUGAAGUAUUUUUACUAUUUCAAACAUGAAAAAUAUGUGUUUAUUUGAGGAACAGUGCAACAGGUGAACUACAAUAUCUGUGUCUUUUUCCUUCAUUUGGAAUUGAAUUGGUUCAAAGUGGCAGUUCUGCUUAUCUGAAGCUGAUCAGAGCUGUGAUUGGCUAUGAUGUCAGCACUAUUUCUUUUUCCAUAACACUUUGAUCUUCUAAUAUGUUACAUUAUUUACUCAUUUAUGGUGUUAGUUGGAUUGUGUUAGUUCUCUUUCUAGAAUGGAAAUUCCAUGAGGAUGGGGGAUUUUCAAAUAUUUUGUUCCCUGUUAUAACCCAAGCCUCUAAAACAGUGUAGGAAGUACAAUAUUUAUUGUGAAAAACAACAAACAAAAUGAGUAUUUAUAGAAAGUUUGAAUUCAAGGCAAUAAAACCAAGGGGGAAACAAGCUAUAAAGUGACGCAUUUUUCACAGCAAUAGCUCCUAGGGGAGCAAUACAAGAAAAGAAAAAGAAAGAUGAUCCAACAUCAGGGAAGACAUCUGCUAAAGUGGAUGUCAAGACAAAGCUUCACAUUUUCACAUUUCCCUCAAAUAAUCAUUUUUCUUCUUUCUGAGGAAAGUGUAUUUCAUUUGCACAGGGCUAUCUGGGAAAUAGCAAUCAUUAAUACUAAACGUACUUGGUCCUACAGCUGCCUUGCUCACAGGGAAGCAAAGGAAGAAUGCUGGUUCUUGCUAGACAAUCAGAGGGCACAGUGACUGUAAAAUUAGUGUCAGAGUGGGCCUGGUACCAUUAAAAUUUAGAACGAGGCAAGAACAGACUGUGUCAUUUUCCCAGUCAUGAGCUCUCAGUUUGAGCUGAUCAAUUCCAUACAAGAAAGAGAGUGUCACAAAGUUAAGCCUAAAAUUCAGCUGUUAGUGCAAUUUUCUCUUACUAAAUUUAAUACCGGGUAUAUUGUGAUCGAGAACAAAUUUACAUUUGCUUUGUCCUUUAAAUGGAAAGGUGAAGUCUUCUCUGUGACCAAAGCUAUGAACCCACAAUACAAUCAAGGGCUUUAGAGUUCUCAACCAUGCAGCCUUUGCUGUCUUUGACACUUGAGUAUUUUUCCUUUACUUUUCUAUUUCCUGCUUUAAAAAAAUGGUUUAAAAAUUUCUUGGACCUUCAGAUUAAGUUUCUGGGAAUCUAAAGAUUUUUAACAUUAUUAAAUUGUCUAUUAUAGUAAACUUAAAACUCACAAUAAUUUUUCCUUGAAAUACCAAAGCUGAUUUGCAUAAUUAAUUUUAUGAUAGAAAUUUUUACAUUGCUUUUAUUAAAUUUUCAAUAGACAUAUACAAGUAUUUUAAUAUAUAUUUACAGAGUAAAGAAUAUAAACAUAAUUAACUCCAAGAUACCUACCAGUUUAUCUAAGAUAGAGAAUAAAGCUAAUGCUUUUGAAAUUCGCUGCUUCCUGGUUCCCAACUCCUUGCCUCUUCUCUUAGAACUAUCACUUAAAAGUUGGGUUUAUGAUUUUCUUGCAUGUGUAUGUGUGUAUGUGCAUUUAUCAUAUAUGUAUGCUUGAUCAGAAAAUUGUUUGGCAGAAUGUUUUUAAAGGCCUAAAUGGAAAAAGGCAUUUUUACUGACACUAAUGAUUUGCUUUUUUCACUUAACUUUCUCUGGCUGCAAUUUAUCUGUGUUGACGCACAUAGCUGUAACUCAUUCACUUCCCUUGCUGUAUAGUAUAGUAUUUCAUUGAAUAAAUAUAACACAAUUUACAUAUUAUUCUCUUGUUAAUGGACAU
rnacentral:lncRNA from 10 species